GCAUUACUCAUAUCUAUAUACUGUAUUCUAUUCUACUGUAUCUUAGUCGAUGCCGCUUUGACAUUGCUCAUCCAUAUAUUUAUUACAUUCUUAAUUCAUCAUUCCUUUACUUAGAUGUGUAUAUUGUGAAAUUGUUAGAUAUUACUGCUCUGUUGUAGCUAGAAACACAAGCAUUUCGUAACACCCCCAUACAUUGCUUAAACACGUGCACGUGACCAAUAAUAUUUUGAUUUGAUUUGAAGAGGACGUGACACUCUAGGUCUGUUGAUAAAACAGUUAUUCCCUGACCGGGAAUCGAACCCGGGCCGCGGCGGUGAGAGCGCCGAAUCCUAACCACUAGACCACCAGGGAAGUCAUAGCUUGUCGGUGUUGGAAACGAUUUCCUAAUUAUAAUAACUGUUGCUAGAUAAAUAUGUAUUUAUUGUUUUACAAUUGUUGACAGAUAAAUAUGUAUAUAUUUAUUUUUUUUACAAUUGUUUACAUAUAAAUAUGUAUAUAUUGUUUUACAAUUGUUGACAGAUAAAUAUGUAUUUAUUUACUAUAUUUUAUAAAUAGUUUUAUAACCCGUUUUUUGUUUUCUGAGCAAACACACUCUCGUCAACCCACUUGCACGUCGUGCACGAAUGAAAAUCAAACCCCUCCUUGUCUGACCCACAUCCGAGUGUCUUCCUCGUAGUAUAAAACCACUCGCCAAUCCUUCAUUCUGGCAACAACAACAAAAAAAACGAACAUUUACUCCGAAUAUAUUUCACUACUUAUUACAAGAUUGACUUGGGUGCAGCACGUCUCUUGGGUAACAAACAAAAAGAAAGGUCUUCUGUCCCAAAUGGACAACAUGUUAUUCUAGGUAACGUUUAGUCGACUUGGCUUUUUCCUUCAACAGACCAUAUGAUGUUAUGUUUCUAAACUCAAGUUUGUCAUUUUCGUUCACGUUUUUUUGUUAAAUAAUGGGAACAUUGUAAGUUCGCUAGGCGCCUAACUACACCUUGCUAUCUACCGUUAGCUAGCUAGUUAUGUACCACACGGUUAGGGUUAGGUUAGGGUUAGGUUAGGGUUAGGUUAGGGUUAGGUUAGGGUUAGGUUAGGGUUAGGUUAGGGUUAGGUUAGGGUUAUAGGGUUGGUUAGGGUUAUGGUUAGGGUUUGGGUUAGGUUAGGGUUAGGUAGGGUUGGUUUGGGUUAGGUUAGGGUUAGGUUUGGGUUAGGUCUAGGUGGGUGUGAUUAGUCAGGUUAGGGUUAGCUCUAGGUUAGCUCUAGGUUAGGUUAGCUCUAGGUUAGGGUUAGCUCUAGGUUAGGGUUCGCUCUAGGUUAGGGUUUAGCUCUAGGUUAGGGUUAGCUCUAGGUUAGGUUAGCUCUGGUUAGGUUUGGAUUAGCUCUAGGUUAGGGUUUGGAUUAGGUUAGGGUUUGGAUUAGCUCUAGGUUAGGGUGGUUAGCUCUAGGUUAGGGUUAGCUUAGUUGGGUUAGCUCUAGGUUAGGGUUAGCUCUAGGUUAGGGUUUGAUAGCUCUAGGUUAGGUUUGGAUUAGUCUAGGUUAGGGUUCGCUUAGUUAGGGUUGCUCUAGGUUAGGGUUUGGAUUAGUUAGGGUUGGAUUAGCUCUAGGUUAGGGUUGAUUAGCUCUGUUAGGGUUUGGAUAGCUCUAGUUAGGGUUAGGUCAGUUUUGGGUUAGGUUAGGGUUUGGAUUAGGUCUAGGUUAGGGUUUGGUUUAGGUUUGGGUUAGGUUAGGUUUAGGUAUGGUCCCUGAGUUUAGCACACCCACAUGACUAAGAUAUUGUAAUUUUCGGUCGAGAGUGGUUAUAACUUGGGUGGUUAGACCGUUCGUCCGGUAACCGAAAGUUAAUUGGGCCGAAUCCCGGAGCUGACCGGUAUAAAACAAAACGGUCCUUCUCCUGACACAAGGCAGAGUUAACCCACGGUUCCUAGGGCAGUUAA
rnacentral:tRNA from 1 species